rnacentral:rRNA from 1 species
AUAUGGCUCAGGAUGAACGCUAGCUACAGGCUUAACACAUGCAAGUCGAGGGGCAGCGGGAUUGAAGCUUGCUUCAAUUGCCGGCGACCGGCGCACGGGUGAGUAACGUGUAUCCAACCUUCCGUACACUCAGGGAUAGCCUUUCGAAAGAAAGAUUAAUACCUGAUGGUAUCUUAAGCACACAUGUAAUUAAGAUUAAAGAUUUAUCGGUGUACGAUGGGGAGUGCGUUCCAUUAGGUAGUAGG